rnacentral:rRNA from 1 species
UACAGAGGGUGCGAGCGUUAAUCGGAAUUACUGGGCGUAAAGCGCGCGUAGGCGGCUUUGCAAGUCGGGUGUGAAAUCCCCAGGCUUAACCUGGGAACUGCAUUCGAGACUGCAUUGCUAGAGUAUGGGAGAGGGAAGUGGAAUUUCCGGUGUAGCGGUGAAAUGCGUAGAUAUCGGAAGGAACAUCAGUGGCGAAAGCGACUUCCUGGACCAAUACUGACGCUGAGAAGCGAAAGCAUGGGGAGCGAACAGG